GACGAACGCUGGCGGCGUGCCUAAUACAUGCAAGUCGAGCGAAUCAAAGGGAGCUUGCUCCCUGAGGUUAGCGGCGGACGGGUGAGUAACACGUGGGCAACCUGCCUAUAAGACUGGGAUAACUUCGGGAAACCGGAGCUAAUACCGGAUAAUUCAUAUCUACUCAUGUAGAUAUGCUGAAAGACGGUUUACGCUGUCACUUAUAGAUGGGCCCGCGGCGCAUUAGCUAGUUGGUGAGGUAACGGCUCACCAAGGCGACGAUGCGUAGCCGACCUGAGAGGGUGAUCGGCCACACUGGGACUGAGACACGGCCCAGACUCCUACGGGAGGCAGCAGUAGGGAAUCUUCCGCAAUGGACGAAAGUCUGACGGAGCAACGCCGCGUGAGUGAUGAAGGUUUUCGGAUCGUAAAACUCUGUAGUUAGGGAAGAACAAGUACUAGAGUAACUGCUAGUACCUUGACGGUACCUAACCAGAAAGCCACGGCUAACUACGUGCCAGCCGCCGCCGUAAUAC
rnacentral:rRNA from 1 species